ACCUGGGAUAGCUCAGUCAGUAGAGCAUGAGACUCUUAAUCUCAGGGUUGUGGGUUCGAGUCCCUUGCCAGGCA